ensembl:lncRNA
AUCAAUCACAAGGACAGACAUUCACUUGGACAUGGCCAAAGUAUUAGCAGUGUCUGGGAUGUGUACUGCUUGUGUGACAGGUUAAGAUGGAGAUAUUUGCAUGGGUUACAAAUAUCUCCUUUCCUUUGGUAAAAGUUGGUGAGGAGUCACCUAUGCUGAAGGCGGCUUAAAGGUUGCAUCGAGGCACCUUUCCUAAGCAUUUUUAGAAUUCAAACAACCUUUCCUCCGAGUAUUUCCGGGUCAUCUUGUUAGGAAAGGAAAUUUCCAUGCAAGAAACAGAAUCCGUAGAGGCCCCGGGUGGCGCUAGUAUCGUUGCGCUAGUCCGCCUCUCCCACACAUUCGCGCUCUCAGACGUUGCGUGUUGAAUCGGACCGACACCGCCCAUGCUGUUCCAGAAGCUUGGACCACAGCUAAACACAUUGAACAGAUUUUUUUCCCAAACCCAUCCGAGUCUCCCCAAACAUUUCAGAUGGCGGGCCAGUGUGUUCUGCGCUUAAGGGACAAGAUAAAAAACAACAAACAUACGAGGGAACAAAGUAGUGAACGUGUAUGUACGGGGAGAUUCUGAUCAGUGAAUGAGGUACAGGUGGGACGAUUGUGACAAGGACGCACAGGUGAUGGGGGUGAAGUGAUCUAAGGACAUCUGGUGGAAAGGGGGAGGGAGCACACUAAACAGCACAAAGACAAAGUCAGAUCCUGACAUGAAGUCAUCAAAUAUGAGCCUGUUAGAGGAUGAAUCAUCACGUCAUCUCGGAACACUCUUCGUCGGAGCAAAGAUGCCCCCCUUCUUCCCCCCGGGGCCGCUGCCCUGCCCCACAAAUUUCUCCUACAGAGGUGGCGGGAGGACGAGACAGCUGAUCGGUCAGCUGAGGCUGGUAGCCAUCAAACUGAGACCAGCGCAGCAGGCUCGACAGGACACUGACUUCAUGGACAGUGAGGAAGUCUGUGGAUCUGGAGACAGAGGUGGGAGGAACAAUGAUGAUUGGCCAGGCUAUUGGCCUAACACACCCGCCUUACAACCAACCCUGCUAACAUCUCUCGUGUGCGAAACGGCUCAAUAUGGAUUGGAAUGAGAACAGUGCCUCAAGUUCAUCACGCCCCCUCUGUAGUCUUUGAUGAUCGCUGCCUCCCCCUUGUGGAGAUAACUGGUUAUUGCAUAUUUGAGCACAUUGGUCAAAAGUCUUAAUGGGAUGCUGAUUGCCACUUGGUCACACCAGCCAAUACAUGAAACUAGCUUAAAUUUGUAGGGGUAAGCAAUAAUUGUACCUCACUAUAAUUUCUAUUUACCUGGUUAUGCAGUACCCAUAUGGUUGCGUGAUACUGCCAUCUAUAGAGUUUAAUAAUAACAAUAAUAAUAAUAAAUACUGAGAAAGUGUUCAUUACUGUUGUUCGUACUGCUAUGUACGCUGAGCAGUAUGUGCAAUCUUAUUUAUUUCGAAUUGUGAUCAUUUUCUGUAUUUAAUUGUUCAUGUCUUACUUCUAAUCGGUUUCAUGAUCAAAGUGUUCUUAAAACAUCCAGAAAUGGUGUGUUUGGGUUCUGAAGAGAAAUGUAUACUAGUAGGCCUACAUUAUAGACUUUGUAUAGACUUCACAAAAAUGAAAUAGAAAGUUAACAUAGAUAAUCUUCCUCAAUUAUUCUAUGCAGAAUGAAACAACAACACAAGACAAUAUCGGACAUUAUUCCCCUAUGACAUGACUUUACAUUACUUGAGGCGAGUAUUAUAACCGCAAUGGCACCUUAACCCGAGAUAAUUGUGACGAUCAGACAUAACCUAUGUCUGUGGCCUCUACAUUGUAUUAGGUCCAUACGCCUUCAGAUCAGUGUCCCUCAACUGGUGGGUUGUGACCCAAAAGUUGGUUGCGGACCCGAUCUGAAUGGGUCGCGGAAUGUGUGGGCGCACCUUAAUGACCAUGGUAAAAUGUGGGUCCCAAGGCCAGACCAGUUGAGAACCACUGCUCUAUAGAGUUCGUAAGUACGCCCCUUCCGGUAGACCCCCACGGGACCUUUGAGAUUGUAAAAUAUGAAUGGGUUUCAAUGGAGAGAAAGACUUGAUGCCCUGCGCCAUUGAGCAGUUUUCAUAGGAAUGAAUGGGUGCCAUUUUUUGGGUCCGUGGUCGAGAUAGAUAGAGAGAAAGAAAAGAGUUUGUGGCCCAGAGUUUUUGACAUCCGUCAACUACGCCAGCUCUGUGUUCGUCGACGGUUGAACUACUGAUGGCAUUGUGUGUAC